rnacentral:misc_RNA from 1 species
CUUUAUUCUGGAUUAACUAAAGUUAACUAAAUUUAAUAUUAAUUAACAAAAAAUAACUACAAAUUAAAACACAAACACCAUCCCAUCUGAAGCAAACACCCAUAGCUUUGGUAGUUUUCAACAUUCAAAGCAUGGAGGGCAAAUGAAUUGUGCAUCCAUUUGCAUUUUUACAGGAAAGUUGCAGGCAGCAGAGAUGGUGAUAAUAAUCAUAAACUUGAAUUUACCAUACAAAAUAAGAGAAAGCCGCACGUAAGUUACUAGACUUAAAAGCAUCUUUCAUCAAAUCGCCAAUGUGGUUUCAAUGUAAUCUCUCAAUAAAAUUGAUGGUAUGUCCUGAUUCUGAAUUAGGAAACUUCUUCAACCACCUGAAUUUUUCCUACAGAAAGAAAAAAAUCUCCAAUGUGGUUUUUGGUUCCUCCAUUUCAGGUGUCCGAUCUCGCUUGAGCUCAUGCGUGACCCUGUCACCGUUAGUACCGGUCAGACUUACGACCGCUCCAGCAUCGAGUCCUGGGUUUCAACCGGUAACAGUACGUGUCCUGUCACUCGUGCUCCGCUCACAGAUUUCAGUCUUAUCCCAAACCAUACUCUUCGCCGCUUAAUCCAGGACUGGUGUGUCGCCAACCGUGCUUUUGGUAUUGAACGCAUCCCGACCCCCAAGCAGCCGGCGGAGCCCAGUUUGGUCAGGUCUUUAUUGAACCAAAUUGCGUCGGAGUCCAAUCCUCAUCAGUCUCGCCUCUCUGCCCUCCGUCGACUCAGAGGACUCGCCCGUGACUCUGACAAGAACAGGUCCAUCAUUUCUUCUCACAACGCACGAGAAGUAUUACUUAAUAUUCUCUUUGCCAACGCUGCGGAUUCCAAUUCUUCGGAUUUGAAGCACGAGGCGCUUGCACUUCUCGUCAUGUUUCCCCUCACCGAGUCAGAGUGUGUGUGCAUAGCUUCAGACUCGGAGAGAAUAAAUUACUUAGUGAAUCUCUUGUUCAACACCUCAAUCGAAGUUCGAGUCAACUCGGCUUCAAUCUUCGAAAUGGUGGUUGCCGGAACAAAAUCCUCAGAUCUUCGAGCUCAAAUCAGCAGCGUAAACAAAAUCUUUGAAGGAGUAAUUGAAAUGCUAAAAAAUCCUAUCUCUUAUCCUCGCGCUCUCAAGAUUGGCAUAAAAGCGCUAUUCGCCUUGUGCCUCGCGAAGCAGACCAGGCACAAAGCUAUUUCCGCGGGAGCAGCGGAUAUUCUAAUCGAUAGACUGGCGGAUUUCGACAAAUGCGACGCCGAGAGAGCGCUGGCCACAAUAGAACUGCUGUGCAGAGUGCCAGCUGGGUGCGCGGCAUUUGUAGAGCACUCGCUGACGGUGCCGCUGCUGGUGAAGACGAUAUUGAAAAUAUCAGACAGGGCAACAGAGUACGCUGCGGGAGCUCUGCUGGCGCUGUGCACGGAGUCGGAGCAGAGCCAAAGGGAGGCGGUGAGCGCUGGGAUAUUGACGCAGCUAUUGUUACUGGUGCAGAGUGAUUGUACGGAUAGGGCAAAGAGGAAGGCGCAGAUGUUACUAAAGUUGCUUCUGGACUCGUGGCCGGAGGAUUCCUCGGGCAAUUCCGAUAAUUUUGUUUGCAGUGAGGUCGUCCCUUAAGUGAUCCUUUGUUCCUCAUCCUCAUAAUUCUUCCUCUCCUCCUUUUUUCUUUUUAAGUUUUAAAAAGGGCAGAAAAUUGGAAAUUGAGAUUGUAGAUUGGUAUAUAGAGAGAAUGAGAAAUUCUCUAUGUAAGAAUUUGUUUCAAAAAGAUUUUAAGGAAAGUUGAAAAGCAAAUGAAGAGUUAGACAU